rnacentral:rRNA from 1 species
CCUACGGGAGGCAGCAGUGGGGAAUAUUGCGCAAUGGGCGAAAGCCUGACGCAGCGACGCCGCGUGAGGGAUAAAGGUCUUCGGAUCGUUAACCUCUGUCAGCAGGGAAGAACGGUCACUGUGCUAAUCAGCAGUGAAUUGACGGUACCUGCAAAGGAAGCACCGGCUAACUCCGUGCCAGCAGCCGCGGUAAUACGGAGGGUGCGAGCGUUAAUCGGAAUUACUGGGCGUAAAGCGCUCGUAGGCGGUAUGUCAAGUCAAGGGUGAAAUCCCCGCGCUCAACGUGGGAACUGCCUUUGAAACUGGCAAACUGGAGUGUGUGAGAGGAUAGUGGAAUGCCAGGUGUAGGAGUGAAAUCCGUAGAUAUCGGGAGGAACAUCAGUGGCGAAGGCGACGAUCUGGCACAUAACUGACGCUGAGGAGCGAAAGCGUGGGUAGCAAACAGGAUUAGAUACCCGGGUAGUC